rnacentral:rRNA from 1 species
AUUGAACGCUGGCGGCAUGCCUUACACAUGCAAGUCGAGCGGACACACGCGGCACGGUCCUGACUGGCGUCGACGGGGUAAGUAUUACUACGACACGUGCACCCUAGCUAGGGGACACUGCUCACUUCAGGAGCUCAUACCGCAUACGGGCUAUUAUUGAAAGCGGGAUACCGCAAUACUUCAAGAGAUUUUUGCGGCCGCUUACGGAUUAGGUAGUUGGUGAGGUAAAGGCUCACCAAGCCAACGAUCCGUAACUGGUCUGAGAGGACGAGCCGCCACACUGGAACUGAGACACGGCCCAGACUCCUACGGGAGGCAGCAGUAGGGAAUCUUGGACAAUGGGCGAAAGCCUGAUCGAGCAAUGCCGCGUGAAUGAAGAAGGUCUUCGGGUUGUAAACUGCUUUUGUUCGGGACGAAAAGAUGCGGGUGAAUACCCGGAGGUAUUGACGGUACCGAAAGAAUAAGCACCGGCUAACUACGUG